rnacentral:rRNA from 1 species
AGAGUUUGAUCCUGGCUCAGAUUGAACGCUGGCGGAAUGCUUUACACAUGCAAGUCGAGCGGCAGCGCGGGGCAACCUGGCGGCGAGCGGCGAACGGGUGAGUAAUACAUCGGAACGUACCCUGUCGUGGGGGAUAACUAACCGAAAGGUUAGCUAAUACCGCAUACGACCUGAGGGUGAAAGCGGGGGAUCGCAAGACCUCGCGCGAUAGGAGCGGCCGAUGUCAGAUUAGCUAGUUGGUGAGGUAAAGGCUCACCAAGGCGACGAUCUGUAGCGGGUCUGAGAGGACGGCCCGCCACACUGGAACUGAGACACGGUCCAGACUCCUACGGGAGGCAGCAGUGGGGAAUUUUGGACAAUGGGGGCAACCCUGAUCCAGCCAUUCCGCGUGAGUGAAGAAGGCCUUCGGGUUGUAAAGCUCUUUCGGCAGGAACGAAAAGGCGGGCUCUAACAUAGCCUGUUCAUGACGGUACCUGAAGAAGAAGCACCGGCUAACUACGUGCCAGCAGUCGCGGUAAUACGUAGGGUGCGAGCGUUAAUCGGAAUUACUGGGCGUAAAGCGUGCGCAGGCGGUUUUGUAAGACAGAUGUGAAAUCCCCGGGCUUAACCUGGGAACUGCGUUUGUGACUGCAAGACUUGAGUGCGGCAGAGGGGGGUGGAAUUCCACGUGUAGCAGUGAAAUGCGUAGAGAUGUGGAGGAACACCGAUGGCGAAGGCAGCCCCCUGGGUCGACACUGACGCUCAUGCACGAAAGCGUGGGUAGCAAACAGGAUUAGAUACCCUGGUAGUCCACGCCCUAAACGAUGCGAACUAGGUGUUGGAGAAGGAGACUUCUUUAGUACCGCAGCUAACGCGUGAAGUUCGCCGCCUGGGGAGUACGGUCGCAAGAUUAAAACUCAAAGGAAUUGAUGG